rnacentral:rRNA from 1 species
AUUGAACGCUGGCGGCAGGCCUAACACAUGCAAGUCGAGCGAGCGGCGGACGGGUGAGUAAUGUAUGGGGACUGCCCGAUAGAGGGGGAUAACUACUGGAAACGGUAGCUAAUACCGCAUACUAUCGGAUAACCCAUAUGGGAUUAGCUAGUAUGUGAGGUAAUGGCUCACCUAGGCGACGAUCCCUAGCUGGUCUGGGAGGAUGAUCAGCCACACGGGGACGGAGACACGUCCAAGACUCCUACGGAGGCAGCAGUGGGGAAUAUUGCACAAUGGGCGCAAGCCUGAUGCAGCCAUGCCGCGUGUAGGAAGAAGGCCCUAGAGUUGUAAAGUACUUUCAGUCGGGAGGCGUUACCGACAGAAGAAGUACCGGCUAACUCCGGGCCAGCAGCCGCGGUAAUAC